GUCUAUGGCCAUGCCACCCCGAACAAGCCCGAUCCCAUCUGAUCUCGGAAGCUUAGCAGGGUUGGGCCUGGUUAGUACAUGGAUGGGAGACCACCUAGGAAGAUCAGGUGCUGUAGGCA
rnacentral:rRNA from 1 species